AUCUAUUUAUUAUGAUACUUAAUAUGGUGACUUUUGAAGUAAUUUCUCAACAUAAAAAUAGAUUUGUGUAUUCACUAUUAUAUCAUAUACAAAUGAGUCUUAGAUAUACUUGAAUAAGAUGAAAAGUUCUCUCUUCUAUCUAGUUGAUGGACAUAGUUGUUCAAGAGAAUCAAUUGUAAUUUUCCACACACAAUUUACUUUGGAACUUCUAAGUUCUAACAGAGGAAGGUACUCAAUAUUCUAUAACUUGGUAAGGUCUUGUUGAUACAAUUUGCAUGUGGCUUUCAUAUUUUUGUAUAAAGUUUUUUUGGGUUCUGUAUGGUUUAUGUUCGAAAUAUAACAUUACCCUCGUGAAUAGUAACAUAUCCUCUUAGGUGAGGGUUGACUGCCUUAUUUCUUCAUAAGAGUUACUAUUUUGUCAUUUCAAUCUUUAUGCAUGUAUAUGUGGUUUAUUAAAUAUACUAAAGGUUAAAUGACUGCAAUCAAAGGGAUAAAAUGAUGUCGAUAGUGGACUGUUGUGUAUAGAAUUGUCAUUGGUAUUUUAUUUGUGUAAUUGGUUCCAUGUUAUAGUGAAAUGAUUUGAUUAUUUUUGCUUUUACAUAUAUUUGAAUAAUCAGAUUCUCGUUUUAAUUAUAUAUAUUUCUGAAUUCAAUUGUAAUAAUUAUAUCGUUGAGGUUAUAAAUUGAAAUAGAGAUUCUAUUGACAAUUUGUUGAGAGCAAAUUCAAGAGGCUUUGGGAUGAGUCAAUUAAGUUGACUUACUAUGCAAUUGAUUGAAGGGUAAGACGAUGUAUUCAAGUCUUAUCGCAUCAAAAUGGUAAGGCACCAGGUUAAAUUUCAGAUGAAACAUAAUGAAAAAUGUUUGAGGAUAAGACGAUAGAUUCAAGUUUUAUUGCACUAAGAGGGUAAUACAUCAAUUUGAGUUUUGAUGCAUCUGAUGAUAUUGUAUUGACUAAAAGACAUAAAUUUUUGUCCAAUUGAUUUGCUCCAUUCUCUUAUGUAAAUGUGAUAGUAGUACAUGAUAAAUCUGAAAGAUGACAAUAAUUAUUGUGAUUGUACAGUGAAUAUGGGCAUGACAAAGAGAAAGUAUGAUAGUCAUCAACAUGGCUAAAUGAAGAACACUAUGGAUUCUCCAAAUAGUCCUUCAAAAUGUGAAGAUAAUUUUUAUUAUCAAAAUGGUAUGAAAAGUCAUUGGAUUUGUGAAUAUUGUCGACUCAAUAAUUUGACAAGUUUAUAUAUCCUUCAUCAGAAGACAAGAAGAUAAAGUGAUGGUACACUUGAUCUUUCAAAGAGAUGUUGCGGUGUGUCAUGAAAAUAUGAUGAAUUUUAAAGCCAUGACAAUAUGCUUAUGCAAAUUUAUGAAGUACAUAUAAAUGAUUACUCCAUUCCUUGAAGAGAAUGUGACUUGUGAUUAGUAUCGUGAAUGUUCGACCAUUCUAUAAGAGAAUGAGUCAAGAUGUGAUAAAAUUAUUAUGGGUUGGAUAUAUGUCACAACUCACCUCUAUGGGAUAUUUGAAAAAUUAUAAUAUAUGUCAAAACUCAUCUCUACUGGAGGUUUGAGAGAAAUAAAUAAAUUUUAUUUGCCAAUAGUGGUCGUGUAUGUUUAUACGUCAUUAUGGUAUGUUUAUUGUGAACUACCGAAC
rnacentral:lncRNA from 1 species